UGAUUAUAAACUAAUGUAUAAUUUACCAGAGUACUAUGAACACACAGUUUAAAACUCAAAGGGCUUGGCGGUGCUUUAGACUAUUCAGGGGAACCUGUCUAGUAAUCGAUAGUCCACGAUACACCUAACCUUUUUUAGUUAUCAGUAUGUAUACCGUCGUCGUCAGGUAACUUUUAAAAAUAAAGAAGUUAGCGAUAAAAAUUAUGAUAAUUUUGUACGUCAGAUCAAGGUGCAGCUUAUAAAAAGGUGAGGAUGGGUUACAAUUAAGAUUUAUAAUAACGGAAAAAAGCUUGAUACAGCUUUUAAUG
rnacentral:rRNA from 1 species